AGAGUUUGAUCCUGGCUCAGGAUGAACGCUAGCUACAGGCUUAACACAUGCAAGUCGAGGGGCAGCGGGAUUGAAGCUUGCUUCAAUUGCCGGCGACCGGCGCACGGGUGAGUAACGCGUAUCCAACCUUCCGUACACUCAGGGAUAGCCUUUCGAAAGAAAGAUUAAUACCUGAUGGUAUGAUGAGAUUGCAUGAUAGCAUCAUUAAAGAUUUAUCGGUGUACGAUGGGGAUGCGUUCCAUUAGGUAGUAGGCGGGGUAACGGCCCACCUAGCCAACGAUGGAUAGGGGUUCUGAGAGGAAGGUCCCCCACAUUGGAACUGAGACACGGUCCAAACUCCUACGGGAGGCAGCAGUGAGGAAUAUUGGUCAAUGGACGAGAGUCUGAACCAGCCAAGUAGCGUGAAGGAUGAAGGUCCUACGGAUUGUAAACUUCUUUUAUAAGGGAAUAAACCCUCCCACGUGUGGGAGCUUGUAUGUACCUUAUGAAUAAGCAUCGGCUAACUCCGUGCCAGCAGCCGCGGUAAUACGGAGGAUGCGAGCGUUAUCCGGAUUUAUUGGGUUUAAAGGGAGCGCAGACGGGUCGUUAAGUCAGCUGUGAAAGUUUGGGGCUCAACCUUAAAAUUGCAGUUGAUACUGGCGUCCUUGAGUGCGGUUGAGGUGUGCGGAAUUCGUGGUGUAGCGGUGAAAUGCUUAGAUAUCACGAAGAACUCCGAUUGCGAAGGCAGCACACUAAUCCGUAACUGACGUUCAUGCUCGAAAGUGUGGGUAUCAAACAGGAUUAGAUACCCUGGUAGUCCACACGGUAAACGAUGGAUACUCGCUGUUGGCGAUAUACUGUCAGCGGCUUAGCGAAAGCGUUAAGUAUCCCACCUGGGGAGUACGCCGGCAACGGUGAAACUCAAAGGAAUUGACGGAAGGGCGAAUCGCGGCCG
rnacentral:rRNA from 1 species